rfam:Macrostomum lignano uti_cns_0049110, whole genome shotgun sequence.
AACUCUGGUUUCUCUUCAUUCCACGAUUAAAUCUUUCGCCUUUUACUAAAGAUUUCCGUGGAGGGAUACUCUUAGGAGAAUUCUCUAGUUUUUGCAGGCCUUUCCUAGAAAGGCU